rnacentral:rRNA from 1 species
ACUCAAAGGAAUAGACGGGGGCCCGCACAAGCAGCGGAGCGUGUGGUUUAAUUCGAGGCUACACGAAGAACCUUACCCGGGUUAGACAUCUACCUGGUAGUGAACCGAAAGGGGAACGACCCGCAAGGGAGGGUAGACAGGUGCUGCAUGGCUGUCGUCAGCUCGUGUCGUGAGAUGUUCGGUUAAGUCCGGUAACGAGCGCAACCCUCGGGAGUAGUUACACGUGUCUACUCCAACUGCCCGGUGAAACUGGGAGGAAGGUGGGGAUGACGUCAAGUCAGCAUGGCCUUUAUAUCCGGGGCUACACACACGCUACAAUGGUCGGUACAAUGGGUCGCCAAGCCGCGAGGCGGAGCCAAUCCAGGAAAGCCGAUCUCAGUUCGGAUUGCAGGCUGCAACUCGCCUGCAUGAAGUUGGAGUUGCUAGUAAACGCGCAUCAGCUAUGGCGCGUUGAAUACGUUCCCGGGCCUUGUACACACCGCCCGU